rnacentral:rRNA from 1 species
UACAGAGGGUGCGAGCGUUAAUCGGAAUUACUGGGCGUAAAGCGCGCGUAGGCGGCUUUUGCAAGUCGGGUGUGAAAUCCCCAGGCUUAACCUGGGAACUGCAUUCGAGACUGCAUUGCUAGAGUAUGGGGAGAGGGAAGUGGAAUUUUCCGGUGUAGCGGUGAAAUGCGUAGAUAUCGGAAGGAACAUCAGUGGCGAAAAGCGACUUCCUGGACCAAUACUGACGCUCAUGUGCGAAAAGCGUGGGGGAGCAAACAGGG